GUCGAGGGGCAGCGGGGUUGUAGCAAUACAACUGCCGGCGACCGGCGCACGGGUGAGUAACACGUAUGUAACCUGCCCUCUGCAGGGGGAUAAGCGGAAGAAAUUCCGUCUAAUACCGCAUAAUACAAUUUGGAGACAUCUCCGGGUUGUCAAAGGAGUGAUCCGGCAGAGGAUGGACAUGCGGCGCAUUAGCUAGUCGGCGGGGUAACGGCCCACCGAGGCUACGAUGCGUAGGGGUUCUGAGAGGAAGGUCCCCCACACUGGUACUGAGACACGGACCAGACUCCUACGGGAGGCAGCAGUGAGGAAUAUUGGUCAAUGGGCGGAAGCCUGAACCAGCCAAGUCGCGUGAGGGAAGACGGUCCUAUGGAUUGUAAACCUCUUUUGCAGGGGAGCAAGGCGCGGUACGUGUACCGCGAAGGAGAGUACCCUGAGAAAAAGCAUCGGCUAACUCCGUGCCAGCAGCCGCGGUAAUACGGAGGAUGCGAGCGUUAUCCGGAUUUAUUGGGUUUAAAGGGUGCGCAGGCGGACUGUUAAGUCAGCGGUAAAAUGUCGGUGCUCAACACCGGCCGGCCGUUGAAACUGGCAGCCUUGAGUGAGCGAGAAGUAUGCGGAAUGCGUGGUGUAGCGGUGAAAUGCAUA
rnacentral:rRNA from 1 species